ACAUCAUAGGUGCCCUCUGAUGUGCCACUAAGGAGCAUGAGGUGAACCCAGCUCUGCAGACACUACAGAGACUGUGCCUUACAGAGUGGCACUUCCAUGGCUGAAGCCCCUGUAAUCACAGCUUUCUACUGCUGCAAUGGUUGCUAUGCUCCAAAAGCUGUGUAGGAGAGAUGAAUGGAUCCACAUGACCAAAAGAGCAAGGAAGGACUGCUCUCUUUUCCUCCUACCUUGGUUUAGACCAGGGUACAAAAUUUGUGUUGUCCUACUUUGAAGAACCUCACUGGAGGGAUUCUGGAUCGCUGCCCUGAAUAUCAGGCCAGGAGGAGAGAGUAGACAAGGGCCACCAUCCUAAACACAUGCCCAUGUUUGUAAAACAAUAUCUAUGCUGAAGGUCUGGGCUCUUUCGUUUUUGCACGUGUUCCUUAUAUAAAGAGACCAUAAAUAAACAGAGCUGAACUUCAUAGUUUGGAGAGUGAAAUCUUGCUUUUGUGAUGAAACCACGGUUUCACGCAUUCAGACGACCAUGAAACUGAACAUCUUCCUCGCUCAUCUCCAGUUUGGUGUCUAUCUGAAGGCAGCCUAUGUCAUUCAUAGUAUUUGAGUAACUGCUUCACAAGCUGGUAUUCUGGAAUUUCCUGGCAAGCAAUGAGGAGAAU